UGGGGUCCCUAGAUUCCUUUGGUUUGUUCAGAGGGUGGAGAGGGAUGGUAGAAGAGAGAUCAGCUGAUCAUUACCUGUUAGUUUCACUCCCUCUGGGGCACCUAGCAUUGGCCACUGUCAG